GGGAGUGGCUCAGUGGUAGAGCGUCGCCUUGCCAUGGCGAAUGUCGCGAGUUCGAAUCUCGUCUUCCG
rnacentral:tRNA from 1 species